UGUUUCCAUUCGUCCACAUGGCUGUGCUUUGUUUACACCGAAAAUAGCGUGAAGAUUGCCCAUUUACUUUAUUUUUGUAAGGACCCAAAAAACAGAGGCAGUGGAAUAACCUAUUCAAAUAUCGACAACUGAAAGCCUGUUUGCAGAUUAAAAGAGGUCCCAAUGAAUGUCACAUAAGACUAAGGGUAUAUCCUAUAUGCCAUGGGUCAUAUGUGUAGGCCUGCUUAUGUUGCCAAAUACAUAAUACAGAUAAACAUCACACACAAUGUAUAAACCUAUUACAAUCAGAGCAGGCCAACCUUGCUGGAAGUCUGCUGGGUGUGCAGGGUUCUGUUUUAGCCCAGUAAUAACACACUUCAUUGAACUUAUCAAAUAUAAUGAGUUGACAAUCAAGUGUGCUAUUGUUGGGCUGGAAUAGAAGUCUGCUCACCCAGUAGAUCAGGGAUCACUGGAGCAAGUUUGGCCACUGCUAGUAUGGAGUUGUUUUUGUUCCCCUGAAAUGAUGAUUUAGUAAUAAUAACGUACAAUUAUCUAUUGAUGUUUAGUCUAAGAUGUCUAAUCUUUACAUACAGGUAAUCUUAUUUGUACAUUUUGAAGUGACAAAGUGUUGAUUCUUUGAAGUGAAGUUUUUAAACUUAUUUUAAUUAUUAAACUAUUAUUCAAAAUGAACUAGUAUCAAUGUUGAUUAAUCAUAUCACAAUCCUGCAAUAAAGAGAAGGAGUUCCGUG